rnacentral:rRNA from 1 species
AUUGAACGCUGGCGGCAUGCCUUACACAUGCAAGUCGAACGGCAGCACGGGAGCUUGCUCCUGGUGGCGAGUGGCGAACGGGUGAGUAAUACAUCGGAACGUACCCAGGAGUGGGGGAGUAACGUAGCGAAAGUUACGCUAAUACCGCAUAUUCUGUGAGCAGGAAAGCGGGGGAGUCGCAAGACCUCGCGCUCUUGGAGCGGCCGAUGUCGGAUUAGCUAGUUGGUGAGGUAAAAGCUCACCAAGGCGACGAUCCGUAGCAGGUCUGAGAGGAUGAUCUGCCACACUGGGACUGAGACACGGCCCAGACUCCUACGGGAGGCAGCAGUGGGGAAUUUUGGACAAUGGGGGCAACCCCUGAUCCAGCCAUGCCGCGUGAGUGAAGAAGG